UACGUAGGGCGCAAGCGUUAUCCGGAAUUAUUGGGCGUAAAGAGCUCGUAGGCGGCUUGUUGCGUCGACUGUGAAAACCCGCGGCUCAACCGCGUGGCUUGCAGUCGAUACGGGCAGGCUAGAAUUCGGUAGGGGAGACUGGAAUUCCUGGUGUAGCGGUGAAAUGCGCAGAUAUCAGGAGGAACACCGGUGGCGAAGGCGGGUCUCUGGGCCGAUAUUGACGCUGAGGAGCGAAAGCGUGGGGAGCGAACAGG
rnacentral:rRNA from 1 species